rnacentral:rRNA from 1 species
UGGGGAAUCUUCCGCAAUGGGCGCAAGCCUGACGGAGCAACGCCGCGUGAAUGAAGAAGGUCUUCGGAUCGUAAAGUUCUGUUCUUAGGGAAGAAGUCUUAGGUUGUGAAUAAUGACUUAAGGUGACGGUACCUAUGGAGAAAGCUCCGGCUAACUACGUGCCAGCAGCCGCGGUAAUACGUAGGGAGCGAGCGUUGUCCGGAAUUACUGGGCGUAAAGGGCGCGUAGGCGGGAACUUAAGUUAGAUGUGAAAACUCCGGGCUCAACCUGGAGACUGCAUUUAAAACUGGGUUUCUUGAGGGCAGGAGAGGAAAGUGGAAUUCCUAGUGUAGCGGUGAAAUGCGUAGAUAUUAGGAGGAACACCAGUGGCGAAGGCGACUUUCUGGACUGUACCUGACGCUGAGGCGCGAAAGCAUGGGGAGCGAACAGG